AUGCUCGCACUUUCCAUAUGGAGCUGGGAGCAUUUACCGGUUGGACAACCGAAGAUCGUGAAGUACGAGGAUUGGGACGACAAAAACGACCCACUACGGCUCCCCACUUGGGCUCACAAGUGGGAUGUGUUAAAUGAGACGAUGGAUGAUCCGUCGGUCAUGUACAAGUUGUACAAGAGCGAGCUGGACGCGAUCACGCCUGAGCAGGUGAAUCGACAUUGCAUAAGUGAUUAUCAUGCUUCUAUCGUAACUUGA
rnacentral:rRNA from 1 species